UUGGGCGUAAAGAGUUCGUAGGCGGUAGCUUAAGUCUGGUGUUAAAUACCGAAGCUCAACUUCGGCAUGGCAUCGGAUACUGGGUUACUAGAGUGCGGUAGAGGUAUCGGGAAUUCCAGGUGUAGCGGUGAAAUGCGUAGAUAUCUGGAGGAACACCAGUGGCGAAAGCGCGAUACUGGGCCGUAACUGACGCUGAGGAACGAAAGCCUGGGUAGCGAAAGGGAUUAGAUACCCCUGUAGUCCAGGCCGUAAACGAUGGAUACUAGGUGUAGGAGGUAUCGACCCCUUCUGUGCCGCAGCUAACGCGAUAAGUAUCCCGCCUGGGGAGUACGACCGCAAGGUUGAAACUCAAAGGAAUUGACGGGGGCCCGCACAAGCGGUGGAACAUGUGGUUUAAUUCGAUGCAACGCGAAGAACCUUACCUGGGCUUGACAUCUGGGGAACCUCUGUGAAAGCAGAGGGUGCCUUCGGGAACCCCAAGACAGGUGGUGCACGGUUGUCGUCAGCUCGUGUCGUGAGAUGUUGGGUUAAGUCCCGCAACGAGCGCAACCCUCGUUGUCUGUUGCUACAGGCUGAAAGGCGCUGAGCACUCAGGCAAGACUGCCGGUGACAAACCGGAGGAAGGUGGG
rnacentral:rRNA from 1 species